GCAGAAUACAUCAUGCUUGAUGAUGGAAAUUAGUUCAAUACAAACAGGAUACAAACAAGAAUGAAAGGACUAGUAAAGAAACACAUUGUUGUUGAUGCUGAAAACUUAGUUAGGACAUACCAGUCAGAGAAGCAAAGUACAGUAAGUAAAAUAAUAAGCAGGACUUCAUUUAUAGCCUUGGCUUUUAGCAGGCAAUAGCACAAGUAGUAGUAAAGUAAGAGAGAGUUUUUAAGUGUAAGUGUGUGUUCGGAGCUAAAGUUUGUUCCUGUUUGGAAAGAAGAGAAGUGCAGAGCAUUAGCUUUUUGAAAACUAGUGAAAGAGAGGAAAUAAGCCACAAACAUGGAAACAAUCACUACUAAGAAUCAAAUACAUACAUGAUUGACUUUAAUUAAG
rnacentral:lncRNA from 1 species